GCUGGGUGAGGUGGCACACACCUGUAAUCCCAGUGGCUCAGGAGGCUAAGACAGGAGGAUCACAGGUUCAAAGCCAGCCUCAGCAAAGACAAAGUACUGAGCAACUCAGUGAGACCCUGACUCUA
rnacentral:sRNA from 1 species